rnacentral:lncRNA from 1 species
CAAGUAAGGUAACAUCUUAAGGUACUUGACUAUCACUUUUUGUAAGCUUCUCCUUGGUUCUGGCGUUCACAUGAAUAAAAGAGACAAACAUGUAUGAUUUACAACUCUAGAUUAACCAACCCAAUCGGUUCCACAUGUUUAGUUCUUCCACCUUUGUGAUCCCACACUCCUAAUCAAAUGAGCUAAAAUGUUGCACACUCAAUCUUUGGAAGAUAUAUAAAAAAACAUAAAUAUAGACUGAUUAUCUUUCCAUUAGGUUGAGCGAUCUGAAUUGACAAAUGUUUUAAAUGCUACACUCAUGAUAUUAUUAUCCAUCAACUUUGUCUUGCUCACUAUGCUUAAGGUUAGAGAAGAAGAAAUACACUUUUGGUUCUGUUAGUGUUUUCCACCAACAGGGCCCAUGCACUUGAUCUAUGUCUUGUCUCUAUCAGCAGGUACACUUCGAGCAAAACAUGGAGGAGAUUUACAACUCCCAGACUCCACCAAGUGAAGGACAUGGAUCUACAAGCACAAUCACACUGAGCAAGAUGCUGCCAACGCCGCACUUUGAACUGCUAGGCAAACGAAGAACAUGGGUGACACCGUAUCAAGAGGUGCAGACGUCAAGGUCCACACCUGAAUCAAAUGACGCACCUAAAGAAUGAACACGGUGAGAAGUCUUGUUCAGAAGACUAAACAUUGAACCCCCGCCGAAAGGUAAAAUCGAUAGUUGUCUAUAUUUAUCCUUUCUGCAUUCUCUUUUUCCUUAAAUUAUUUACUUUCCUUAAACAGCUUGUUAGUUAAUCAUGCUAUUUUUAAAAGAAAUUAAAAAUAUUAAAAACUGUAAGCCCCAUGUGAGUAUGCUCGUGGCAUAAAACCCAUAAGUACAUUCACUGUGGUGGCGUAAAAAUAAAAAUAUUCCUGUCCUAUAAAAAUGAAAAUAUAAAAAUAAAUUUAUGAUCCUAGCAAAGAGAGUAUCAUUUAUUGAGGAGGCUCAACAUGAUAAAGGCUAGAUAUUUAUGCUAACAUUUAACUAGUUCCACAAAGCUUUGUUGUCUACUUGAGCUCCACUGGAUUCAAGGAUCAAAGAAGACUAGCAGACGGAGGAUAUCCUAAUCGCUGCCGACAUUCAAAUACACCUCAGCCACCUGCUAGCUACAUCAGAAGAAAUUACGUCAAAAUCCAGCUUGGGGGAGAGCACCCCCAUAUCCCGCUAAGGCCUUGUUUACUUCCCAGAAAAUUUUGCAAAAUUUUUCAGAUUCUCCGUCACAUCGAAUCUUUAAACGUAUGCAUGGAGUAUUAAAUAUAGACGAAAAUAAAAACUAAUUGCACAAUU